rnacentral:rRNA from 1 species
GAUGAACGCUGGCGGCGUGCCUAACACAUGCAAGUCGAGCGAAGAUAUGAGAAGUACUUGUACAGAUCGUAUUUUAGCGGCGGACGGGUGAGUAACACGUGAGUAACCUGCCUUUUACUGGGGAAUAACAUCGAGAAAUCGGUGCUAAUACCGCAUAAUGUCACGAGAUCGCAUGGUUUUGUGACCAAAGGAGUAAUUCGGUAAAAGAUGGACUCGCGUCCGAUUAGAUAGUUGGUGAGGUAAUGGCUCACCAAGUCUACGAUCGGUAGCCGAACUGAGAGGUUGAUCGGCCACAUUGGGACUGAGACACGGCCCAGACUCCUACGGGAGGCAGCAGUGGGGAAUAUUGGGCAAUGGGCGAAAGCCUGACCCAGCAACGCCGCGUGAAGGAAGAAGGUCUUCGGAUUGUAAACUUCUUUGAUCAGGGACGAACAAAAUGACGGUACCUGAAGAACAAGCCACGGCUAACUACGUGCCAGCAGCCGCGGUAA